UACGGAGGGUGCGAGCGUUAUCCGGAAUCACUGGGCGUAAAGGGUGCGUAGGCGGGUCUUUUAAGUCAGGGGUGAAAUCCUGGAGCUCAACUCCAGAACUGCCUUUGAUACUGAGGAUCUUGAGUUCGGGAGAGGUGAGUGGAACUGCGAGUGUAGAGGUGAAAUUCGUAGAUAUUCGCAAGAACACCAGUGGCGAAGGCGGCUCACUGGCCCGAUACUGACGCUGAGGCACGAAAGCAUGGGGAGCAAACAGGG
rnacentral:rRNA from 1 species